GCCGUGUCGCGACGCGCCCCACCGCACGAAAAUCGAUGACAUCUAUCUAUCCAUCGGUUCAAUUCCGCCUGUGGUGUGGUACUAACUACUACCUCUGAGAUGAGGGAGAGGGAGGUCCGAGGUGGUGUGGUGUGGUGUCGUCCGCUCUCUCUCUCUCUCAUAAUAAUAAUUCCGGUAUCCAUCAUCGUCCUUGUCUCUAGUAGUUAGUGUUGCCUCGGCGGUGGUGGUGGUGGCGUCGGAGGUGAGAGGUGGCGUAGGCCGUCGCCGCGCGCCGCCUCUUCGGCCAGGCCCCUUCGUCCGCUCGCUGUCCUUCGUCGUCGUGGCCGUCGUUCUUCUUCUUCCUCUUCUUCUUAGCCUGCGGUAUUACGUCGUAGUUCCCCAAGGAUUUAAACCCUUGACCCUCCUGCUCCCGGUUCCGAUGUGCGUCAUGAAGCUUUUGCGGGCGUUUAGAGGUCCUUCCGGGCAGUUGGUCUUGCUAGCGUUGGUUCCGCGACGUGUCCGUGGGGGCUUGCUGGGCGGCAGCCAGUUCCGGAGGGGGAACUCCGGCCCCAGGCUCGGCCCCGACGCGUUCUUGUCCCUGCUUUCCGCACGGUGGGCUCUUCUGCUGGAGGCAGCCGUGCUCGGGCGACGGGCCUUUUGUGUACGGCUCAGCGGGUUGGUAUCUAUACCACUGGUCUCGUUGAUGCUUCCGCGACGCUCCUUUCGCUCGUUACUCUCCAGUGGGUAGGUAGGAGCCGUCGUCCGUUCCGAACGUUUGUUUCCACCCCAAAGUAGAGGACAACGCCUAGCGUCCCCAAGACGAGGGUGGUGCGGACCUUCCAGGUUCUACUCCGGUUGGCCGGCGCCGCUACUUUGCGGGCUCUCUCCUAGUCGACACGGCUUCAAACCUCUGACCCUACUCUUUCUGGGAAGCUGACCACUUCCAAAGUGACUGUAUAAACUCUUCCACUCCCUCCUCUUCGUCAGGCCGCGCCUAUGACAGCCGUGGUCGGUACGUAUAUUCCUGGCGAUGUUGGUUCCCCUGUCUAUACUUAGAAGCCCGACGAGUACGAAGUCGACCAAGUUCUUCACUGUGGGUGGGACGGACAUUGUAUGGACACCGCUAACAUAGAAACACUUUACUCAUCGGUUUAGACAACAAUAAAACAACUCUACAAUACAAUAUCGCUCUGUACAUAGCCUCGUACUUAAUAAGCGUUCCGACACUAAGUCGUAAAAAAAACUCGUAAACAUUAGUCACCAACCAAAGGACUUAAAACGUUGUUAACAGAGUAAGGACCUAAUUUCCCCUUCGUCCAACCCUUUAUUCCCG
rnacentral:rRNA from 1 species